AUAAAGUUUUAUUUUAGCUUAUUAAAUUAUUAUUAAUUUAUUUUAUAUGUAAAUUUUUGUGUAUAUAGUUAUUUAUUUAAAUAGUAAAUAAAUUAUUUAAAUUCGCAAUAAUUAAUAUUAUUAAUUAAAGAAAUUUAGAAAUAGUAAUAUUAAAAAGUAUUGACUAAAUUUGUGCCAGCAGUCGCGGUUAUACUAAUAAAUGCAAGUAAUUUUUAUUUAAUUUAAGUUAAAUUAAUUUUUAAAUAUUUAAAAAUAAAUUUAUUAGGUGAAAUUUUAAAUUUAUAAAUUUUAUUUAUAUAUAUAUAUAUAUAUAUAUAUAUAUAUUAAAGCUUAAAAAUUUUUAUAAAAAACUAGGAUUAGAUACCCUAUUAUUAAAAAUUUAAAUAAUAUAAAAUUAAAGUAGUAGUAGUUAUGUUCUUGAAACUUAAAAAAUUUGGCGGUAUUUUAGUCUAUUCAGAGGAACUUGUUUAAUAAUCGAUAAUCCACGAUGGACCUUACUUAAUUUUGUUAUCAGUUUAUAUACCGUUGUUAUUAGAAUAUUUUAUAAGAAUAAUAAUUUUCGUAAUUUUAUAUAAAAAAAUAUAUCAAAUCAAGGUGUAGCUUAUAUUUAAGUAUAAAUGAGUUACAAUAAAUUUAUUUAAAUGAAUAUAAAUUUGAAAUAUUUAUUGAAGGUGGAUUUGAUAGUAAAAUUAUAAAGAAUAAUAAUUUGAUUUUAGCUCUAAAAUAUGUACAUAUCGCCCGUCACUCUUAUUAAUAAGGUAAGAUAAGUCGUAACAUAGUAGAUGUACUGGAAAGUGUAUCUAGAAUUC
rnacentral:ncRNA from 1 species